rnacentral:tRNA from 1 species
UUUAAACAAAUUUUUAUCUAUAAUUAAAAAAAUAAAUUUUGAAAAAAACCUUCCAUAUAAAUGU